rnacentral:rRNA from 1 species
UACGUAGGGUGCGAGCGUUGUCCGGAAUUACUGGGCGUAAAGAGCUCGUAGGUGGUUUGUCGCGUUGUUCGUGAAAACCGGGGGCUUAACCCUCGGCGUGCGGGCGAUACGGGCAGACUUGAGUACUGCAGGGGAGACUGGAAUUCCUGGUGUAGCGGUGAAAUGCGCAGAUAUCAGGAGGAACACCGAUGGCGAAGGCGGCUUCCUGGACCGACACUGACGCUGAGGCGCGAAAGCUAGGGGAGCAAACGGG